AAAGAAAUGUGUGAUAUGUUAGUAAUAGUUACUGUAAUGUGUAGCUGCAAACCUUCAACAGAUGAAGAUAUAGUGUCAGACAUCUGGCACGCUCAGAUCCUCAGGUUCAUUUUUUAGACACUUAUUUUUAUUUACACUUUUUAACAUCCAUUUCUAUGUGUAUAAGGAUGAGAAAAAAAUUGGGUCCUGGUUAAACUUCCUUUUGUUUUAAGCUUAUUUAUUGCUCUGACUGUAGUUGUGGCCACGUUUACAGUGGUUAGCUUUUUUGUAGAAAUUAGCAGGUCAAUGCAUCUGCCUUACUGGAACAACAAUGUCUUUCUUAACAUGAAAAGAAGCAAACAGAAAUGGUCAAAGUCAUAUUUAUUUCCCCGUCAUGGCUUACUAAUUAAAAGCUUCUACACACAAGUAUAAAUUAAAAAGCUUAAUUUCCAUUUCUUUUAAUCGGAUUCUUAAGGGUGCGACUAAUUGUGGCUCUGUAAUUUUGUAAAACAACAAAACAAAAACAAUUAUUUCUUAAUUUGUUUUUUUCCCCUCACUAAACAAAUGCAGUCAAAUUAAAGGCAGAAAUGUUCUGUGUUUAAUUAUACUAGAGGAACAAAAGACUGAAUUAUUUUAAACCUUCUCACACGUCUUUACCAGGAGUGGCAAUUAACGUGUGGUGCACUAAGUGGCUGUUUUUAAUAGCCGUACUUUGACUUAUGAAGAGCAACAUCUACUACCUUGAAUGCUAUGUUUGCUUGUCUUUCCCACUUUGAAGGAUUGAGAUGCUAAUCCAAUUAACAUCGAGGUCGAAAGGCAUCUCAUCACCUAUCCUCCUCUUCCGGAUGUUUUCCCAUGACCAGUGGCUUCCUCAAAGACUCAGUGAAAAUCCACUUGGCAUCCCAACUGUAGCGUGAAGUAAAGGCCAUGCUAACAUUA